rnacentral:rRNA from 1 species
GCCCCAGACUCCUACGGGCGGCCGCAGUGGUGCCUCUUGCACACUGGUGGCAACCCUGCUGCCGCGACGCCGCGUGCGUGAAGAAGUCCUUCGUUAUGUACCGCUCUAUCAGCAGGGCCGCAAAUGACGGUCCCUGAGUAAGACGCCCCGGCUAACUCCGUGCCAGCAGCCGCGGUCAUACGUAGGGGGCCAGCGUUAGCCGGAUUUACUGGGUGUAAAGGGAGCGGAGCCGGCAGGGCAAGGCUGGAGUGAAAGGCGGGGGCUCAACCCCCGGACGGCGUGGGAAACUGUACGGCUGGAGGGCAGGAGAGGUAAGGGGAAUUCCUAGGGUAGCGGUGAAAGGCGUAGAUAUUAGGAGGAACACCAGUGGCGAAGGCGGCUUACGGGAAUGUAACUGACGUGGAGGCGCGAAAGCGGGGGGAGCAAACAGGAGGAGAGACCCGCGUA